GUGAUUCUCUAAUCCAUUAGUAAAACACUGAGGAGCACUCACACUAAAAUUAAAACAAUCCUAAGCAGAUUAGCAUGACACCAGUGCAAGGAUGACACUCAAAUAUGUGAAGUGUUCCAUAUUUUU
rnacentral:snRNA from 1 species